rnacentral:tRNA from 1 species
AGGUUAUUAGUUUAAGCAAGACAUUUGAUUUCGGCUCAAAAGCUUGUGGUUCAAACCCACAAUGACCUA